rnacentral:lncRNA from 1 species
CUCCGCUUCUAUUUCUUAUUUUGCAACUCUUUUCGUGGAAACUUCAAGCGGUUCCAGAAACAAAAGCUUUCAGGCAUUUGGAAGUUGCACACUGAGAGAUUUGUGAGUUAUACGUGGGACAAGGAUAGCAUCUACCAUCUGCCACAGGAAUGAAUCAUCAACAAGGUUGUUUGUGCUAAAUUUCUUCUUGAUCUACUACUAAUGAAGGUUUUACUGGAUUAUCUGCUUAAAGGUCAAAAUGCUAAUUAGGA